CGUGUGUGUGUGCGUGUGUGAGGGGACGGGAGCUGGCUCUGGCCUGGCCCUCGGGGAGGGCACAGGGCUGGGAGAGCCGCAGCUCCGCAGAGAGCUGAAAACGCUGUGCCAUGGGGACCUGAGGGAGGGUGGUUGAACCUCAAGCCUAGCCCUCUUUUUAGUUUUCUUUUUUUCUUUUCUUUCUCUCUCUCUCUCUCUUUUUUUUUUUUUUUUUUUUUUUUUUUUUUUCCUCCAACGUCGUUUUAAAGUCACCGGAGGGAAAAGGAAAAGAAAAGCGAAAUGUGAAACCGAAGAGGAACGUCUAUAAAAACUUACAUGUUGAGCCAGCUUUAACACUGCAGCCACAUUCGACUCGGAGUAGCACCCGUACCGGCCGGCCUGGGGCGAGUUUCAGAUCAAAACAAAUAGAGCCCCAAACGUAUCAUUUAAACUGUAGACAACUGAUGCUUCCAUCCUGUGGUCCCUGCCCUGAAUACAAGCAGUUAAAAUAGCCCUCCUGACAGAGGCUAAAUAGUAUAAGAAAUAAUCAACCGCCUUCACCUGGGAAAAAGUCUGAACCUAGCCAGUUCUCUGAUGGAGACUUGACAAGUAACAUCAAACAUGGCCCAAGAACAAAGCUAACCAACCACGGCCUGAAGCAUCCUUCAACCAAAAGUCACCUUUAGUCAAGCUUUGCCAUCUAAUUUGCAGUGUUUCUGUUUGUACUCUUCAGGCAGAAGAACUAAAACUCUUACAGUGUAAAGCUCUCUUGGUUUCUGCUCAGUAAGAUUACAUUGAGGAUGCUGCAACUAUUUAACACUUUUAGCAACCUUUGGCUGCAGCCAUCCUGGUGUUCUCACUUCAGAAAUGCAGAUCCAAGCCCACUACCUUUUUCCUACUGUUUAUUUGUGUGUGUGUGUGUUUUAAUGUGUCCUGAAUAACACUGCUGUAAGACUCCAAUUUUAAAGUGCAACUUAAUCCCCUUCUGUGCCAGUGUCCUGAAACAGAGCUAAAUUACCUUCAUAGAUUAUUGUUUUUUUAAUUUAGUUGGGUCAAAUAGAUGGCAAUGCUAUAUCUCACUGAGUGAAAGACUGCAAUGACUUGUUUGCUUGAAUCAAAGUAAACAAAGACAGUAGACAGGUCCUUCUCUCAAGAGGAAAAAUCCUUACAAAAAGGAAUGUCACCAGCAAAAAUCAUCAACUCAUGGAGACAAUAAGAAGAGGAAAAAAUGAACCUUAUAAUACAGAGUAAUUUUCCACUUUGAAGGAUGGCCAUACAAACUCAUUAAGCAUAGCAUUAACAUUCAAGGCUUUAACAAUCAGGAUUUUUUGGGGGGGGGACUCUCAAAGAUCUCAUGAUUUUCUAAAAACUUGAAUCAUUAACUUGAGACCUAGGUGAUCAUUAAAAUAUGCCAUCACUUGCUUUAUUCAGUAUUUAACUGUCCUUCUGGAUUCACAAGUACUCAGAUAAAGGUUAUACAAAUUGUGUUUUGCUCUGUACAGAUUUCAACUCCUAAUACCACAUGAACCAACAGCAUUUGGUAAGAAGUUCCACUCUGUGUAUGACCCUCAGUGUCUGCUCUGAGUAGGCUGAAGUUGUGCCAGAGAUCUACUGAUUGGAUCCUGAGUUUUCCCUCUGAAGACUGGCUGCUGAGGAGGACUGUGAUAAGAACUACCAUACAGGAUAAUCCAAUAAGCCAAUGUUAAAAGUAUGCUGACACUCAAAGGCAAGCACCAGUCAUUUUUUAAAAACAGCUUUUCCAGAAAGCAAAACAAAACAAAAACCAGAGCCUUUUCUAAUUUUACUUUAUUUUAUUGAGUUAUGCUUCCUUUAUUAAGACUCAUGAUUUUUGGACUGCCUACUCUUCUCAAUUCUCAAAGGAAGAUUUGUCAGGAGGAAGACAGGGAAGAAAUUAAAGGGAAGGACAGUUUCUCUGUUGUAAAUGAAUUUUCUUUGUUCUUUACUUUUUAUGAUGGUCUUUAUAUUUAUAUUUUAUGUUGAUAAAAUACAGCUGUAAUUAGGAUUAUUCCUCUUCCUGCACUUCCUUCAUUUAUUUGUCCCCAUCUCCGAUUCAUUUUGUUUCUUCCUUCCUUUUAUGUAUCACUAUUUUUGCCUCUGCACUUCAAUCUCCAGUAAUUUAUGUCCCAGUGGAAUUAUAUCAGCUCAUCCUCAGUAGAAGAGUUCUAUGUACCCUUCAACAGUUACAUUAAAGACAAUAAAAUUCUUGGAUUUCAUAUACAUAUAUGCCAAUCUCUUUCUUGUGUGUUUGGCGUUCUGCCACAGAUAUUCCCUUUUUCAACAAAACACCUUCUCCAGAGUGAUUCCAACCAUGCCACAAAUAAGAUAGCUACAAAAAACUUAGGCUAAGACUUCAGACAGGGUUGCAUGUUGUAUGUUUCGAAUAUCUUAGCAAUAUCUGUCAGUACUUCUACCACCUUCACUGAAACAGAUAUAGAUAAUCUUUGAUUACAUUUACAAAAUAAUUGACUGUUCCCCUUGCUUCUAUUGUCUUUCCACUGUUCUCUAUUCUUCACAUCCUACUCCUCUCUAUUCUAUUCUUUUGCCUGACUAAUUUAGAUUGCAUGCUUUUUGAAGCAUCAUUCUUAUCAUUUUAUGGGCUCUGCUUAGCGCACAUGAACAAACUCCCAUCAGUUUGGAUGUGUAUCAGUUUGGAUGUAUAUAUAUGUGUGUAUAUGUAUGUAUAUAUAUAUAUAUAUGGGUGUCAUGUAAUGCCAG
ensembl:lncRNA